GCUGGGUGAGGUGGCGUGUGCCUGUAGUUCCAGCACUCGGGAGGCUGAGGCUGGAGGAUCGCUUGAAUCCAGGAGUUCUUGGCCGUAGUGUGCUAUGCCAAUCGGGUGUCUGCACUAAGGUCAGCAUCAAUACGGUGACCUCCCGGGAGCAGGGGACCACCAAGUUGCAUUAGGAGGAGUGAACUGGCUCAGGUCAGAAAUGGAUCAGUAGUGGGAUUGUGCCUAUGAAUAGCCAAUGCACUCCAGCCUGGGCAACAUAGCAAGACCCUGUCAUCU
rnacentral:SRP_RNA from 1 species